AAUAUUAAAAAUAGAAAUUCUAAUCAAAUCCUAAUCAAAUUCUAAUAUAACUUUCAAAAAAUCUUCAUAAAAUCCUAAAAUAAUUCUAACUAAAUCCUAAAAAAAUCCUAAUGAAGUCCUAAAUCAAUCCUAAUCAAGUCGUAAAUAAAUUCUAAACAAAUUCUAAAUAACUUCAAAAAAAUCCUAAGUAAAUUAUAAUUAAUUAUUAUAAUU
rnacentral:lncRNA from 1 species